CCGCCAUUCAACCACUCUUUUUUGGUGAGAACUUCGGUGGCUAGAAGAAGACUAACAAGUCGACAUGCUGGGUGAAGAAAUUGCAAGGUUGAUACUUUUGCUUGGGAACUUGGUUAUGUUUCACAUUUUCGAGCUUGCCUCAACAAGAUGCAGAAAGAGAACCUUUCUAUUAUUGAACUCUGAUCCUUUGUACUUGGCAUAUUGCUAUUCCCACUCUCUAUUGGUUGAAAGAUUAGCUGCUAUCGACAAACUUGAAAAGAAGACAGACUAAGUAGAUGGUGCGAUGUGAAGUUCAAAUACACGAUGUGGUUUGCCGCACCUAAAUGGCUCCCCGGUACUUUGUCACUGCAUAAGCAUCCGCAUAUAUGCAUAUGUUUGGAUGAGACUGAUGCAUUAUAUGUUUGAUAUAAUGGAGUCAUCAUUUUGUGUAUAAUUACGUAUUUUGGCUUAUUAAAUUGAUCAUUGUUUUGGCUUGUUUGCAUUCUAUGUAGUUCUU